UUCCUCAAACAAACACACCAAACGGACAGACCAAUGACUCCCUUCGUUAAUUUCAACGUAGAAACAAUGGUUUCUACGUGAAACCCUAGCGCCACCACUCUCUUCUCUCUCCCUCCGCGUCAUCUAUCCUUAAAUGGCAAAGGGACAGUGUACGUUGCUUUUCUGCAGCUUUGCUCGACCAAAUGAGAUUAAUGGUCAAGAGAGUUGGAAUCCCUUAAUGAAUUUUGUUGUAUGCGAAUUUGAAUCCUCAAUUCUUAUUGGUCUAUGUCGGUUUGAAGGGGAAAUUCAAGAGAAAUUCCCCCCAAAAAUACUUGUCCCACAUCGACUCUUGGGUUUGAGAUGAUCACAUUUGGGGAUCUAUAUAAAGAAACCGCAAUUCACAAUACACACACGGAAUAUCACAAAUUCACAACCUAAAGCUCAAAACUAGGGUUUUAAAUAAAGUGACCGACUAGAAUUGGACACUUUAACCUAAAUAUUUGUUUUCAAGUUAAAAGUCUAAAAUUUUCUUUUGUUUUUGUGGCUGAGUAUUGCGGUUGAGGAGCAAGGGAUCUCCAAGUUCAAUCUCGACAAUAGGCUGCACACAAAAAAGACUAGCAAGUUUGGACGAAUAAGCGUGGCUAAUUGGACGUGGGACAGGCUAUGGUUAUGAUUUGUUACUGCUUUACAUAUUCAGUACAUAUUCCGUACUGACCCCUUUCUUCGGGGGCUGCGUUUCAUGCCACGCAAGUACACCCAGAUGAGUAGAAGACUUUGUUAAAGGCGUUCCAGCGGGAUUGGCGAGCUCCAUCUCAGUUCGGAGUGUUGCCGGGUCAAAGUACUUAUGUCAUAGUAUUUUGUAUAUGUUAGAGACUUUGCAGACAGUGUCUUGUAGAUAGGGCGUCGAGAAGUGCGAAUCAUUUAUAUAUGUUAAAAGAGUAUGUAUUUUUAGAUGAUUUCAGUUGAUUUGAAGUACGUAAUUAAUUGAAAGUUUUCAUAAUCUGUAUAAAGACAAUGAUCUUUAUUUGGAAAAG